AAAGACCAGUCAAUAGUCAUACUAAUCUUCUCUUUGCUUCAUCACCUAGAGCAUAGACAAGCUCAAGACCAAAGCAAAAGAUCAGUCACAAGUAUCUUCUCUUUCCUUCACCUCGCCUAAAAUGGACAAGCUCAAUAAAUCAGUCAUUUUCUCACAGGUUUACCUCGGAGCUCCGAAGCCGGGAAAUCUCAGAUAAAGGACCAAGAUGUAUUUCCAGUUCUCUUUAACAGAAAUGGUGUUAAGAUUUAUGCAUCUCGUCGAUCUUUAUAAGCUUUAUCUUCCAAAACACCCCAUAUUUCUCUGAUUUCACCUUGUUCAAGCCUUCGCCGUUUACUUCUUCACGCCGUUCCUGGUGGAUCCAUUUCGGAGCAUUUAUCACAACGCCGCCAACUUGAGCUCGUGCAGGCCUAUGAGAUGAAUCAUCCUCCAUUGGCCUUCUUGGUUGUGAAAAAAAAUAAAGAACGCAAAUGUAUUACCUAUCUCUCAAAGUACUAAAUCACCUAUAUUUAAGGUUCCAUACUUGCAUUGAGUUUAGAAUGUUCAUUUAUAUGUCCAGUCCAAUAAGUGGACUCAAUAUUGAUUUGCUUA